rnacentral:rRNA from 1 species
CAACCUCGGAAUUGCAUUUGAAACUGGCAGACUAGAGUACUGUAGAGGGGGGUAGAAUUUCAGGUGUAGCGGUGAAAUGCGUAGAGAUCUGAAGGAAUACCGGUGGCGAAGGCGGCCCCCUGGACAGAUACUGACACUCAGAUGCGAAAGCGUGGGGAGCAAACAGGAUUAGAUACCCUGGUAGUCCACGCCGUAAACGAUGUCUACUUGGAGGUUGUGGCCUUGAGCCGUGGCUUUCGGAGCUAACGCGUUAAGUAGACCGCCUGGGGAGUACGGUCGCAAGAUUAAAACUCAAAUGAAUUGACGGGGGCCCGCACAAGCGGUGGAGCAUGUGGUUUAAUUCGAUGCAACGCGAAGAACCUUACCUACUCUUGACAUCCAGAGAACUUUCCAGAGAUGGAUUGGUGCCUUCGGGAACUCUGAGACAGGUGCUGCAUGGCUGUCGUCAGC